rnacentral:tRNA from 1 species
AGAGGUUUAGGAUAAUAUUUUAAACCAAGAGCCUUCAAAGCCCUAAAUAAGAGUGAAAAUCUCUUAACCUUUA